rnacentral:rRNA from 1 species
GUCCACGCCGUAAACGAUGGAUGCUAGCCGUUGGCAGGCUUGCCUGUCAGUGGCGCAGCUAACGCAUUAAGCAUCCCGCCUGGGGAGUACGGUCGCAAGAUUAAAACUAAAAGGAAUUGACGGGGGCCCCGCACAAGCGGUGGAGCAUGUGGUUCAAUUCGAAGCAACGCGCAGAACCUUACCAACCUUUGACAUCCCGGUCGCGGGCACCAGAGAUGGAGCCCUUCAGUUCGGCUGGACCGGAGACAGGUGCUGCAUGGCUGUCGU